rnacentral:lncRNA from 1 species
GGAUCAAUUUCAAGACCGAAAUCUGAAGCAAGGGAGCAAGGAAUGAAACCGGGGCUGGAAAUAUGCUGAGUGAAUUCAUCCUCAAGUAAAAUAUUAGACGAAUCAGAGGGGAAACAUGUAACAGGAAGAUCGAGAUCAAGAGGAACCUGUUGAACUAGUUUGAUCAUGGAUGAUUGAACUUGCUCAAGCAAAGCACUAUCUUCAGGCUCUUCACUGUCGUCCUCAAGGAGUGCCCAAAUUGAAUCGUAAUCAAUGUAGAUAUCAUUGUUAUCAAGGUGUCCACUCUCAGA